rnacentral:tRNA from 1 species
GGCCUAGUAGCUCAGCGGAUAGAGCAGCCCCCUAACGAAGGGUUGGUCGGGGGUUCGAAUCCCUCCUAGGAUU